UUGUACUGAUUGAGAUUUUAACACGAAGUGAGUGGCGAACGGGUGAGUAACACGUGGUAACCUGCCCAGAGUAGGGAUAACACCUGGAAACAGAUGCUAAUACCGUAUAACAGAGAAACCGCAUGGUUUCUUUUAAAGAUGGCUCUGCUAUUACUUCUUGGAUGGACCCGCGGCGUAUUAGCUAGUUGUGAGGUAAAGGCUCACCAAGGCAGUGAUACGUAGCCGACCUGAGAGGGUAAUCGGCCACAUUGGGACUGAGACACGGCCCAGACUCC
rnacentral:rRNA from 1 species